rnacentral:lncRNA from 12 species
UAUUGAAAUAGCUGCCACGAAGAAGCAGUGGCUCUAGGGUCAGACUAGAGAGCAUGGGCCCAGCACCCAGCGUGACUGCUAACUUGCCAGUGAGGCUUUUGAGCCUCAGUUUCCCUCUCUGUACCAGAGGAAUUAUAAUAACCUCCUCACAAGGUUAUCAUAAAAAUUCAUGACAUCUCUUUUUUUUAGUUGCUUAGCUAAGAGUCUGGCUCUUCUAGGCACUCAAUAAGUGGCAGCUACUUAUGAAGCAUCCAUGAUGUUUACGGAUUUUCCAAACAGCAAUUCAAACACUCUCAUUUAUUUUUUCCAGCGAUUGCCUUCAACAGUGCUCUUCUAUCUCUUUGUAAAGCCGCAGCGCCAUAUUAUUCAGACCAUGGAACUUGCUUUCACCUGCAGUUAUCACUAUGGUGCCAACCCAGGACACAAGGCCUCAUCUUGUCCUGGGUGACGUUGCUGGUUCCUACCCUCCCCGCCUAUGUGGUUUGCUUCUCCCUCACUGAAGAGAUGGGAUCUAUUUCCUAUUUCCCUCAGCGUCCCCUGCCUCUUCAGGGCCUAACAGCUCUGGAAGGAGAUGUUUUCCCCGAAAUUUCCUGGAACAGUGUUAGCAUCAGUGUUGCUCAUGCCACCUAUGAGGAGAACCAGGAAGACCCAAGCCCAAGCAGAAGCGGGUCAAGUUUAGAUUGGAGCAGGGGAAUGGACCAGGAGAGCCACUUCUCCCAGAGCAGGAGAUAUGAUGUAAAGCUUCAUGAGUUUCUGAGUGUGGGAGGAAGUGAAGUUGAGCAGAUGGAGCUGGAACACCAAAUAUGGCUGUGCAAAAACUGUCUUGCACAACUCUAGGGGGCAUUCUGGACUAUGACGUGAAAGACACUCCACACGUUAUACAACACGCCACUUCUGAUCUAACUAGUUCAAUCGAAUUUAUUCCUAUGUCCCUCUUAUGAAAGAAAAUGGAAGUUUUAAAAGGAAUGAUUAAUCACAAAUGUUUCCAUUUUAUGGUAAACCAACAAGGAUUAAGGCAAAGAUGGGCC